rnacentral:rRNA from 1 species
GUCGAGGGGUAGAGGUUUCGGGCUUGAGACCGGCGCACGGGUGCGUAACGCGUAUGCAAUCUGCCUUGUACUGGGGGAUAGCCCAGAGAAAUUUGGAUUAAUACCCCAUAGUAUUUUCGGUUGGCAUCAACUGAUUAUUAAAGUUUUCGGUACAAGAUGAGCAUGCGUCCCAUUAGCUAGUUGGUAUGGUAACGGCAUACCAAGGCUACGAUGGGUAGGGGUCCUGAGAGGGAGAUCCCCCACACUGGUACUGAGACACGGACCAGACUCCUACGGGAGGCAGCAGUGAGGAAUAUUGGUCAAUGGUCGCAAGACUUAACCAGCCAUGCCGCGUGCAGGAUGAAGCAUCUAUGGUGUGUAAACUGCUUUUGUACGGGAAGAAACACUCCUACGUGUAGGAGCUUGACGGUACCGUAAGAAUAAGGAUCGGCUAACUCCGUGCCAACAGCCGCGGUAAUACGGGGGAUCCAAGCGUUAUCCGGAAUCAUUGGGUUUAAAGGGUCCGUAGGCGGCUUUAUAAGUCAGUGGUGAAAUCCGGCAGCUUAACUGUCGGAAUUGCCAUUGAUACUGUAGGGCUUG